CGCACAUUGCGCCCUUUGGCAUUCCGAGGGGCAUGCUCGUUCGAGCGUCAUUAAAUCCAAUCAAGCACAGCUUGGUAUUGGGCAUCGGGACCUCCCCGUGCCUCAAUUUCACCGGCUGGCCGUCGCCCGUCUUAGCGUUGUGACACAAUUCUCGCUAGUGAUGGAGGCGGACCACGCCGUUAACACCCCCCAAAUUUUGUUCAAAAAUUUGAUUAAAGUUGACCUCGGAUCGAGUAGGAAUACCCGCUGAACUUAA
rnacentral:misc_RNA from 1 species